CCCCUUCGGGGGACAAAGUGACAGGUGGUGCAUGGUUGUCGUCAGCUCGUGUCGUGAGAUGUUGGGUUAAGUCCCGCAACGAGCGCAACCCUUAAGCUUAGUUGCCAGCAUUAAGUUGGGCACUCUAAGUUGACUGCCGGUGACAAACCGGAGGAAGGUGGGGAUGACGUCAAAUCAUCAUGCCCCUUAUGAUUUGGGCUACACACGUGCUACAAUGGACAAUACAAAGGGCAGCUAAACCGCGAGGUCAUGCAAAUCCCAUAAAGUUGUUCUCAGUUCGGAUUGUAGUCUGCAACUCGACUACAUGAAGCUGGAAUCGCUAGUAAUCGUAGAUCAGCAUGCUACGGUGAAUACGUUCCCGGGUCUUGUACACACCGCCCGUCACACCACGAGAGUUUGUAACACCCGAAGCCGGUGGAGUAACCAUUUAUGGAGCUAGCCGUCGAAGGUGGGACAAAUGAUUGGGGUGAAGUCGUAACAAGGUAGCCGUAUCGGAAGGUGC
rnacentral:rRNA from 1 species